AAGAUGUUAUACUUCACAGUAAGGGCUAGUUUCCAAACAUGAAAGAACACAUAGCUUAUGUAACAUGACAUUUGUUGGAGAAUAUGCCCUAGAAAAUCAUGAUAUCACAGAUAUACACUAAAUAUCUGAAGGAGAUUACAGAGAAAACAUUUCCAGCAGAGGAGUUCUUUAAUAUAGACAGAGCUUGUUUCAGAAUUGGUAUCUUCCUGAAUAUUUGGCUGCUUGGAAAAAGUUAUGUUGGUGCCGGGAUUCAGCCCUUGCCUGGACAGAGGUGGCCGCUAGAGUCAUUAGCAUGGACACUGGCACCAGUGACUACAUAGGUCCCAGGAUCGUAGCCAGCGACCUGAGGUGCCGCCGGAGACCACUUGAGAGGUGCAGAGACUGUAGGCCAGCCCCUCAUUCUUGUCUGAGACAGUGAUGCCCUCCCCACUCAGUAAUUAUGCACAGCUAGCAGAGCUCUGAAAUGAAUGGCUUCAUUUAAUCACAAAAGAAGGAAUACCAGCAAGACCACCCAGGCCCCAGCUCCGGUUUUUCCUGAAGAAUUUGGCCGCAUCUCCCUUUUUGAAGGCAGAGUUUCAUCUUGCCCCAGGGAGAAGCAACUUCCUGGGCAUGCGUGUUAAGAGACAAAAAAUGAUGACGUUUGAUGACCACUCCACCAGAAAAGGGAAAAAAGCCUGAGGGGCCUGCGUGGACCUCCCUAAACACACUGCGCAUGCUCCAUUCCAAAGGGUAUGGCGAGCACUGCGCAUGCGGGAAACCCGCCCUGUAAGGGAAGAAUCCUGGGAAAGAGGCAAGCCUAUGAAGUCCCAGGAUCAAGGUUAAAGACCCUCUUUUUUACUGUCUUCUUGUGCUCUCUUUUCUCUCUUGGACCUUCAGGCGCCUGCUUGGGUCUCUUUCAAGCGAAUUUUGCUUUCUUUCCUGUUCUAAAGCCUUUUAACUAAACUUCCACUCCUGCUCUGAAACUUGCUCUCUUUUUCUGCCUUAACGCCCCUCAGUCGAAUUCUUUCUUCUGAGGAGGCAAGGACUGAAGUUGCUGUGGACCCAUAGGGAUUCGCUGUUGGUAACUCGGGGUAACUCGGGUCUCUUCCACUGCUGACCUAUGUAGCAAGUCCUGUCUUCGGGUUGGCAGGCACCACGGCUGACACCACAUGCGCAGAGAGAGGGGAAAGACCAAGAAGUGACUCAUGACAUCACCCUCGUCUCUGGAAGACAAGAUGUUGGUCUCCUCAGGUGCCCUGCAGUCUUCAGUGUUGGCUGCAGCCACAGCCCCUGCAAUGCAGACCAGGAUGAGGGAAGGCCGCUGGAAGAGGCCUACAGCAUUUUUUAUUAGUAAAUCCAGAGGGCGUGUUAUAUAAAGUGUAAGACAACCACCA
rnacentral:lncRNA from 1 species